UAAACGACUCUCGGCAACGGAUAUCUCGGCUCUCGCAUCGAUGAAGAACGUAGCGAAAUGCGAUACUUGGUGUGAAUUGCAGAAUCCCGUGAACCAUCGAGUCUUUGAACGCAAGUUGCGCCCGAGGCCUCGGCCGAGGGCACGUCUGCCUGGGUGUCACAACGGCA
rnacentral:rRNA from 1 species